GCCGACGAGCCCGGCUGGCCCCGUGCGUACGGGAAAGGGGCAGGCUAGAGCUUCCUUGACGACCAUUAGGUACCUUCGGAGACUACAUUUCCCAGAUGGCCCCGCGCGGCGCGGGGCUGAUGGGGAAGCGCCGAGGGCCCAGUGCGCAGACGCGAGAGCCCCCUCUGGUUAUAUAAGGGAGGG
rnacentral:lncRNA from 1 species